rnacentral:rRNA from 1 species
GGGGGCCCGCAAGCGGUGGAGCAUGUGGUUCAAUUCGACGCAACGCGAAGAACCUUACCUGGGCUCGAAGCGCAGUGGACUGGGGUAGAAAUAUCCCUUUCCCGCAAGGGACUGCUGCGGAGGUGCUGCAUGGCUGUCGUCAGCUCGUGUCGUGAGAUGUUGGGUUAAGUCCCGCAACGAGCGCAACCCUUAUCCCUAGUUGCUACCGGGUCAAGCCGAGCACUCUAGUGAAACUGCCUCGGAUAACGAGGAGGAAGGUGGGGAUGACGUCAAGUCCUCAUGGCCUUUAUGUCCAGGGCUACACACGUGCUACAAUGGUCGGUACAAACCGUCGCAAACCCGCGAGGGGGAGCUAAUCGGAAAAAGCCGACCUCAGUUCGGAUUGGAGUCUGCAACUCGACUCCAUGAAGCUGGAAUCGCUAGUAAUCGCGGAUCAGAACGCCGCGGUGAAUACGUUCCCGGGCCUUGUACACACC